UACGUAGGGUGCGAGCGUUAAUCGGAAUCACUGGGCGUAAAGGGCGCGUAGGCGGCUCAUGAAGGCUGUGGUGAAAGUCCGGGGCUCAACCUCGGAUCGGCCGUGGCGACUCGUGGGCUGGAGCACUGUAGAGGCGGGUGGAAUUCCGGGUGUAGCGGUGGAAUGCGUAGAGAUCCGGAAGAACACCAGUGGCGAAGGCGGCCCGCUGGGCAGUGGCUGACGCUGAGGCGCGACAGGCGUGGGGAGCAAACAGG
rnacentral:rRNA from 1 species